rnacentral:rRNA from 1 species
GAUGAACGCUGGCGGCGUGCCUAAUACAUGCAAGUCGAGCGAAUGGAUUAAGAGCUUGCUCUUAUGAAGUUAGCGGCGGACGGGUGAGUAACACGUGGGUAACCUGCCCAUAAGACUGGGAUAACUCCGGGAAACCGGGGCUAAUACCGGAUAACAUUUUGAACCGCAUGGUUCGAAAUUGAAAGGCGGCUUCGGCUGUCACUUAUGGAUGGACCCGCGUGGCAUUAGCGAGUUGGUGAGGUAACGGCUCACCAAGGCAACGAUGCGUAGCCGACCUGAGAGGGUGAUCGGCCACACUGGGACUGAGACACGGCCCAGACUCCUACGGGAGGCAGCAGUAGGGAAUCUUCCGCAAUGGACGAAAGUCUGACGGAGCAACGCCGCGUGAGUGAUGAAGGCUUUCGGGUCGUAAAACUCUGUUGUUAGGGAAGAACAAGUGCUGGUUGAAUAAGCUGGCACCUUGACGGUACCUAACCAGAAAGCCACGGCUAACUACGUGCCAGCCGCCGCAGUAA